CAUGUAGGCCGCUUUAUAAGUCAGAGGUGAAAUCCCACGGCUUACCCGUGGAAUUGCCUUUGAUACUGUAGAGCUUGAGUCUGUGAGAGGAUAGCAGAAUUCCAGGUGUAGGGGUGAAAUCCGUAGAGAUCUGGAGGAAUAUCAGUGGCGAAGGCGGCUAUCUGGUGCAGUACUGACGCUGAGAUGCAAAGCGUGGGGAUCAAACG
rnacentral:rRNA from 1 species